rnacentral:rRNA from 2 species
GGGUUGUGAGGUUAAGCGACUAAGCGUACACGGUGGAUGCCCUGGCAGUCAGAGGCGAUGAAGGACGUGCUAAUCUGCGAUAAGCGUCGGUAAGGUGAUAUGAACCGUUAUAACCGGCGAUUUCCGAAUGGGGAAACCCAGUGUGUUUCGACACACUAUCAUUAACUGAAUCCAUAGGUUAAUGAGGCGAACCGGGGGAACUGAAACAUCUAAGUACCCCGAGGAAAAGAAAUCAACCGAGAUUCCCCCAGUAGCGGCGAGCGAACGGGGAGGAGCCCAGAGCCUGAAUCAGUGUGUGUGUUAGUG